GACUGGCGGGUGCUAUACUGCAGUCGAGCGAAUGGAUUGAGAGCUUGCUCUCAAGAAGUUAGCGGCGGACGGGUGAGUAACACGUGGGUAACCUGCCCAUAAGACUGGGAUAACUCCGGGAAACCGGGGCUAAUACCGGAUAACAUUUUGAACUGCAUGGUUCGAAAUUGAAAGGCGGCUUCGGCUGUCACUUAUGGAUGGACCCGCGUCGCAUUAGCUAGUUGGUGAGGUAACGGCUCACCAAGGCAACGAUGCAUACCCGACCUGAGAGGGUGAUCGGCCACACUGGGACUGACACACGGCCCAGACUCCUACGGGAGGCAGCAGUAGGGAAUCUUCCGCAAUGGACGAAAGUCUGACGGAGCAACGCCGCGUGAGUGAUGAAGGCUUUCGGGUCGUAAAACUCUGUUGUUAGGGAAGAACAAGUGCUAGUUGAAUAAGCUGGCACCUUGACGGUACCUAACCAAAAAGCCACGGCUAACUACGUGCCAGCAGCCGCGGUAAUACUUAGGUGGCAAGCGUUAUCCGGAAUUAUUGGGCGUAAAGCGCGCGCAGGUGGUUUCUUAAUUCUGAUGUGAAAGCCCACGGCUCAACCGUGGAGGGUCAUUGGAAACUGGGAGACUUGAGUGCAGAAGAGGAAAGUGGAAUUCCAUGUGUAGCGGUGAAAUGCGUAGAGAUAUGGAGGAACACCAGUGGCGAAGGCGACUUUCUGGUCUGUAACUGACACUGAGGCGCGAAAGCGUGUGGAGCAAACAGGAUUAUAUACCCUGGUAGUCCACGCCGUAAACGAUGAGUGCUAAGUGUUAGAGGGUUUCCGCCCUUUAUUGCUGAAGUUAACGCAUUAACCACUCCGCCUGGGGAGUACGGCCGCAAGGCUGAAACUCAAAGGAAUUGACGGGGGCCCGCACAACCGGUGGAGCAUGUGGUUUAAUUCAAAGCAACGCGAAGAACCUUACCAGGUCUUGAAAUCCUG
rnacentral:rRNA from 1 species